rnacentral:sRNA from 1 species
ACCCGGUAUGGUAUGCUGGUGGUAUUGGAAACAACUGCAAUGCUUUUUGUGGCGUAGGACAGUUAAAUCAUACGGGUUU